rnacentral:rRNA from 1 species
UGGGGAAUAUUGCACAAUGGCGCAAGCCUGAUGCAGCCAUGCCGCGUGUGUGAAGAAGGCCUUCGGGUUGUAAAGCACUUUCAGCGAGGAGGAAGGCAGUCGUGUUAAUAGCACGGUUGAUUGACGUUACUCGCAGAAGAAGCACCGGCUAACUCCGUGCCAGCAGCCGCGGUAAUACGGAGGGUGCAAGCGUUAAUCGGAAUUACUGGGCGUAAAGCGCACGCAGGCGGUUUGUUAAGUCAGAUGUGAAAUCCCCGCGCUUAACGUGGGAACUGCAUUUGAAACUGGCAAGCUAGAGUCUUGUAGAGGGGGGUAGAAUUCCAGGUGUAGCGGUGAAAUGCGUAGAGAUCUGGAGGAAUACCGGUGGCGAAGGCGGCCCCCUGGACAAAGACUGACGCUCAGGUGCGAAAGCGUGGGGAGCAAACA